rnacentral:rRNA from 1 species
UGGGGAAUAUUGGACAAUGGGCGAAAGCCUGAUCCAGCAAUGCCGCGUGUGUGAAGAAGGUCUUCGGAUUGUAAAGCACUUUCGGACGGGGACGAUGAUGACGGUACCCGUAGAAGAAGCCCCGGNUAACUUCGUGCCAG